ACAUCGAUGACUAUGAGGAUGAUGAAGAGUUUGAUGAUGGAUAUGAUUGUGAGCAUAUGGUGAAAACAACAGACAGAAGGAGUUGUCCGAUUCGUCCAACUCUUCUGCGGCCAAAGACAGGACAAGGAAUCAGAUGCCAAUUGAUGCGAGUGGAAGAGACAGAAGCACAAACAUGCAUUCUGUUCUGAGCCCUGUAGAGAACCUAACUCAGUGGAAAGCAAUCAAAGCAAAAGUUCC
rnacentral:lncRNA from 1 species